rnacentral:rRNA from 1 species
GACGAACGCUGGCGGCGUGCUUAACACAUGCAAGUCGAACGGAAAGGCCCUGCUUUUGUGGGGUGCUCGAGUGGCGAACGGGUGAGUAACACGUGAGUAACCUGCCCUUGACUUUGGGAUAACUUCAGGAAACUGGGGCUAAUACCGGAUAGGAGCUCCUGCUGCAUGGUGGGGGUUGGAAAGUUUCGGCGGUUGGGGAUGGACUCGCGGGUUAUCAGCUUGUUGGUGGGGUAGUGGCGUACCAAGGCUUUGACGGGUAGCCGGCCUGGGAGGGUGACCGGCCACAUUGGGACUGAGAUACGGCCCAGACUCCUACGGGAGGCAGCAGUGGGGAAUAUUGCACAAUGGGCGGAAGCCUGAUGCAGCAACGCCGCGUGCGGGAUGACGGCCUUCGGGUUGUAAACCGCUUUCGCCUGUGACGAAGCGUGAGUGACGGUAAUGGGUAAAGAAGCACCGGCUAACUACGUG